GUAAGACUGGGAUAACUCCGGGAAACCGGGGCUAAUACCGGAUGGUUGUUUGAACCGCAUGGUUCAAACAUAAAAGGUGGCUUCGGCUACCACUUACAGAUGGACCCGCGGCGCAUUAGCUAGUUGGUGAGGUAACGGCUCACCAAGGCAACGAUGCGUAGCCGACCUGAGAGGGUGAUCGGCCACACUGGGACUGAGACACGGCCCAGACUCCUACGGGAGGCAGCAGUAGGGAAUCUUCCGCAAUGGACGAAAGUCUGACGGAGCAACGCCGCGUGAGUGAUGAAGGUUUUCGGAUCGUAAAGCUCUGUUGUUAGGGAAGAACAAGUACCGUUCGAAUAGGGCGGUACCUUGACGGUACCUAACCAGAAAGCCACGGCUAACUACGUGCCAGCAGCCGCGGUAAUACGUAGGUGGCAAGCGUUGUCCGGAAUUAUUGGGCGUAAAGGGCUCGCAGGCGGUUUCUUAAGUCUGAUGUGAAAGCCCCCGGCUCAACCGGGGAGGGUCAUUGGAAACUGGGGAACUUGAGUGCAGAAGAGGAGAGUGGAAUUCCACGUGUAGCGGUGAAAUGCGUAGAGAUGUGGAGGAACACCAGUGGCGAAGGCGACUCUCUGGUCUGUAACUGACGCUGAGGAGCGAAAGCGUGGGGAGCGAACAGGAUUAGAUACCCUGGUAGUCCACGCCGUAAACGAUGAGUGCUAAGUGUUAGGGGGUUUCCGCCCCUUAGUGCUGCAGCUAACGCAUUAAGCACUCCGCCUGGGGAGUACGGUCGCAAGACUGAAACUCAAAGGAAUUGACGGGGGCCCGCACAAGCGGUGGAGCAUGUG
rnacentral:rRNA from 1 species